rnacentral:rRNA from 1 species
AGAGUUUGAUUAUGGCUCAGAUUGAACGCUGGCGGAAUGCUUUACACAUGCAAGUCGAACGGCAGCACGGGAGCUUGCUCCUGGUGGCGAGUGGCGAACGGGUGAGUAAUGCGUCGGAACGUACCGAGUAAUGGGGGAUAACGCAGCGAAAGCUGUGCUAAUACCGCAUACGCCCUGAGGGGGAAAGUGGGGGAUCGCAAGACCUCACGUUAUUCGAGCGGCCGACGUCUGAUUAGCUAGUUGGUGGGGUAAAGGCUCACCAAGGCGACGAUCAGUAGCGGGUCUGAGAGGAUGAUCCGUCACACUGGAACUGAGACACGGUCCAGACUCCUACGGGAGGCAGCAGUGGGGAAUUUUGGACAAUGGGGGCAACCCUGAUCCAGCCAUUCCGCGUGAGUGAAGAAGGCCUUCGGGUUGUAAAGCUCUUUCAGCCGGAACGAAACGGUACGCACUAAUAUUGUGUGCUAAUGACGGUACCGGCAGAAGAAGCACCGGCUAACUACGUGCCAGCAGCCGCGGUAAUACGUAGGGUGCGAGCGUUAAUCGGAAUUACUGGGCGUAAAGCGUGCGCAGGCGGAUUGUUAAGCAAGAUGUGAAAUCCCCGGGCUUAACCUGGGAAUGGCAUUUUGAACUGGCAGUCUAGAGUGUGUCAGAGGGGGGGUGGAAUUCCACGUGUAGCAGUGAAAUGCGUAGAUAUGUGGAGGAACACCAAUGGCGAAGGCAGCCCCCUGGGAUAACACUGACGCUCAUGUAUGAAAGCGUGGGUAGCAAACAGGAUUAGAUACCCUGGUAGUCCACGCCCUAAACGAUGUCAACUGGUUGUUGGGGGGAGUGAAAUCCCUUAGUAACGAAGCUAACGCGUGAAGUUGACCGCCUGGGGAGUACGGUCGCAAGAUUAGAACUCAAAGGAAUUGACGG